AUGAACCGCCCGCCUCCCCCAUUUCGUUUCCGUUUGAUGGUAGUGACGACGACGACCAAGGUUGUCACUGAGUCGGCCAUGAUUCCAUAUUUUAAGUAUAGUUGGACAGUUGCAACUAUUUUUCUUCAUCACAUCGGAUACUCGGAAAUGUUUUUGCUUGAAGAGAAACUCAAAGGAGCAUCAAGGUCGAAGAAUUUCUUGGAGAUGGCUAUAUUCCCUAGAUCACUCGAUCGAUCAAAAAUUUCCCUUACAAAAAUUAUCUUAUCAGUGCCACUGUGUAUUUUGAUUAACAAGGAGAGGCAGCAGGACGGCCCGAGCCAGACGUUUACGCCUACAAUGCCCUCAUGGAGGCUUACAGCCACACAGGGUUUCCACAAGCCGCUAUCAAGAUCUUUGCCCUAA
rnacentral:rRNA from 1 species